UCGGGCGUGGCCAAGCGGUAAGGCGCCGGUCUUUGGAUCCGGUAUUCCCUGGUUCGAAUCCAGGCGCCCGAG
rnacentral:tRNA from 1 species